rnacentral:lncRNA from 1 species
AGGAGGAUAGUAAGGAGUUGGGGGUGGUGGUGAAGUGUAGUAGUAAGGUGGAGGAGGUGACUUAACUGGUGGUGGAGGGGAGGAGUAGUAGUAAGGUGGAGGAGGUGACUUAACUGGUGGGGGAGGGGAGGAGUAGUAGUAAGGAGGAGGAGGUGACUUAACUGGUGGUGGAGGGGAAGAGUAGUAGUACGGUGGUGGAGGUGACUUAACUGGUGGUGGAGGAGAGGAGUAGUAGUACGGUGGAGGAGGUGACUUAACUGGUGGUGGAGGGGAGGAGUAGUAGUACGGUGGAGGAGGUGACUUAGCAGGUGGUGGUGGGGACUUGUAAUAGUAAGGUGGUGGGGGAGAGGGUGAAGGGGGUGGUGGUGAUUUAUAGUAGUAUGGUGGAGGUGGUGAUGGAGAAGGUGGUGGGGGAGACUUGUAAUAAUAAGGUGGAGGUGGUGAAGGUGAAGGUGGUGGCGGGGAUUUGUAGUAAUAUGGUGGUGGAGGUGAUGGUGAAGGAGGUGGUGGUGAUUUAUAUACAUAUGGUGGUGGUG